GAAGUUUUGAUGAAGAAUUCAGCUACAGUUUUUAACAUAGGCGAAUACGAGGCUAGCAAAAAGAGACAAGAUAUUACCCAAAUGCCCGCGUAAUGGGAAACGGAAGAUUUCCAAGAAGCGAAGGAAAUUGUUUCUGCUGGGUACAUUACUGAAAAUGAAGCAAAUUCUUUUUUAUGCUAUUAGCACACUGCGAGAUAAACAGUGGAAGUCAAAUGCAGUCGAAGAUGCAUUCGAAGUGGACAACAGAAAACGUUCAAGACGCGAAAGAAGCUAUUUCUCUUGGUAUCGUGACCAUUCAUACAGCUAAGUUGUUUUAAAUGGUACUAGCACACCGCAAGAUAAAGUAAACAGAGGAAGUCAGUCGCUCUCGAAGAUAAUUUGUA